CCGCACUCCGUGGCCUUCGGUUCCCAUCUCCGCUGCCGGUUGGACGGCAGUCGGGCCUCAGUUCCCCAUUUCCCAGCCCGGCACCGCAACCACCGCCUCUAUUUCUCUCUCCUCUGACCCGUUGGAUAUUAGCUAUAGACCUCUCUCGUAUUUGCCUUGCUCCCUCCCUCCUUCGAUCGCGGCUAUGCCGGCGGUUGUUCGACGGGC
rnacentral:lncRNA from 1 species